CGGAGGGUGCAAGCGUUAUCCGGAUUCACUGGGUUUAAAGGGUGCGUAGGUGGGCAAGUAAGUCAGUGGUGAAAUCUCCGGGCUUAACCCGGAAACUGCCAUUGAUACUAUUUGUCUUGAAUACUGUGGAGGUCAGCGGAAUAUGUCAUGUAGCGGUGAAAUGCUUAGAUAUGACAUAGAACACCAAUUGCGAAGGCAGCUGGCUACACAAAUAUUGACACUGAGGCACGAAAGCGUGGGGAUCAAACAGGAUUAGAUACCCUGGUAGUCCACGCCCUAAACUAUGGAUACUCGACAUUUGCGAUAAACUGCGAGUGUCUGAGCGAAAGCAUUAAGUAUCCCACCUGGGAAGUACGAUCGCAAGAUUG
rnacentral:rRNA from 1 species